GUGGUCAAAACCAAGGACAAGGCAACUCUUGUACAAGACUUAGAAGAGGCGUUUGCCAACCUACGCAAGAUCAACCUCAAGGUGAACCCUGAGAAGUGUGUCUUCGGCGUUCCGUCCGGCAAUCAUCUCGGGUUCUUUAUGUCGCAGCGCGGGAUCGAGGCAAACCCAGACAAGAUCAAGGCUAUCGAGCAAAUUGAGGUGCCCAAGCGGAUCAACGAUGUGCGUCGGCUCACUGGCUGCAUUGCCGCCAUGAGCCGAUUCAUCUCCAAGUUUGUUGAGCGUGCCCUUCCCUUUUUCAAUAGUUUGAAAAAGGUGGGCCCCAUGGAAUGGACCCCGGAGGCCGAAUUAGCACUGCAUGAUCUGAAGAAGUACCUCCCUUCUACACCACUACUGGUGGCGCCUAAACCGGAACAGCCGUUGCUGCUGUAUCUGGCUGCGACGAAUCAAGUGGUCAGCGCCGCGGUAGUGGCGCAGAGGGAGGUCGACGAAGAGGCAGUCGCAACGGCAGGACCGGCGGAUGGCACGUCCGAA
rnacentral:rRNA from 1 species